AGUGAUUGGCAUUCUGCGUGGUGAACAGCAGGACCUAGACUGACCUUUGGCAUUGGGGUAACAGUGGCUGAUGCUACUGGUGGAGGAACCACACCUUGAGAAGCACUGAUCUAGGCACCUUCCACUCCUCUCAGUCUAUAGAUGGGAAAAUGGAAACUCGGAGAGGUUGGUGCUUACCCCACGUCUCAAGUUUCCUGCUCCUGGAGAAGCAAGACACCAGGAGAUUAUGGGGUUUCCCUCUCAGUAGCUGGAUCUUUCUGAAAGUGUUUUUCUUUGAAGGCAACAUAACUAGGAAGAAAUAAAUGGCUUCGGGCAUGCUGGACUUGCGAACACAAAUUUAUGAAGUGACAGCUAGUGUCAUGAUGCUCCUGCCUCAAGAUGACCUCCCAACCCAGAGCCCGGCUGCUUGGGUGAAACAUUUUCCCCUCCCUGAAUUGUCUUGCAAAAUGUAAACACACAUUGUCACUCCGAAGGAGUUAGUUUAUCAGAUUUCUUCCCUUGGUGAUAGGAGGGAUCUAGGGCAGGCUGAGCAGGGAGGUGAGGUGGAGGAUGACAGAAGC
rnacentral:lncRNA from 1 species